rnacentral:rRNA from 1 species
AACGAACGCUGGCGGCAGGCCUAACACAUGCAAGUCGAGCGCCCCGCAAGGGGAGCGGCGGACGGGUGAGUAACGCGUGGGAACGUGCCCCAAGGUACGGAAUAGCCCCGGGAAACUGGGGGUAAUACCGUAUGUGCCCUACGGGGGAAGGAUUUAUCGCCUUGGGAUCGGCCCGCGUUGGAUUAGGUAGUUGGUGGGGUAAUGGCCUACCAAGCCGACGAUCCAUAGCUGGUUUGAGAGGAUGAUCAGCCACACUGGGACUGAGACACGGCCCAGACUCCUACGGGAGGCAGCAGUGGGAAAUCUUAGACAAUGGGCGCAAGCCUGAUCUAGCCAUGCCGCGUGAGCGAUGAAGGCCUUAGGGUUGUAAAGCUCUUUCAGGGGGGAAGAUAAUGACUGUACCCCCAGAAGAAGCCCCGGCUAACUCCGUG